rnacentral:lncRNA from 10 species
AAAGAACUACUCUGACAUCUAAAUGGAAAAUGGACUGAUGAAGCAAAAGAAGCCACAAGGAAGCCAGUUCAGAGGCUAUUGAAAUGCUCCAGGAGGAAAUAAAUUUUUUCUGGGUUAGUUUGCUGUAAAGACCAAAUACUCUGCAGUGCCUAGGAGGCAGGAGCCUGGGAAUAAGUCCAGCUCCACAUGUUGGCCUGUGUGUGUUGUCCAGUGAGGGAACUGAGAGUCCAGCACCAAUGAAUGUGACACACAGAGGCCCAAGUCUUGGAAGAGGAAGCAGAAAUCAAAACUGCUCCAGAGCACAUCUGGAAAAAACAAGCAAAGCUCAUCUUCCUUUAUUUUGUGUUUUGUAACACUGAGCAAUUUGAUUAAAACAAAUCAGCAGGA